ensembl:lncRNA
CUUUUUUUUGCGCCAAAAUUCAUGAUUUUUUUUUCAAAGAAAACCUUUCUGGAGUGUUUUUCACGGCCUCCUUUACAUUAUUUCAUCAUAUGGCACGUUUUUACAACAUGUUUGAAAAAUCGCAUUUUUUUUUCGACAUAGUAUAGUAAGGCGUUUUUUUUGCGCCAAAAUUCAUGAUGAUUUUUUUUUCAAAGAAAACCUUUCUGGAGUUGUUUUUCACGGCCUCCUUUACAUUAUUUCAUCAUAUGGCACGUUUUUACAACAUGUUUGAAAAAUCACAUUUUUUUUCUCGACAUAGUAUAGUAAGGCGCGUUUUUUUAGGCCAAAAUUCAUGAUGAUUUUUUUUUUCCAAAGAAAACCUUUCUGGAGUGUUUUUCACGGCCUCCUUUACAUUAUUUCAUCAUAUGGCACGUUUUUACAACAUGUUUGAAAAAUCACAUUUUUUUUCGACAUAGUAU